ACUGGUCAUGGUGGCUUGUGCCUGUAGUUCCAGCUACUUGGGAGGCAGAGGUAGGAAGAUUGCUUGAGUUCAGGAGUUCUGGGCUGUAGUGCACUAUGCCAACUGGUUGUCUGCACUAAGUUCAGCAUCAAUAUGGUGACCUCACAGGAGUGAAGAACCACCAGGUUGCCUAAGGAGGGGUGAAUCAGCCCAGAUUGGAAAUAGAGCAGAUGAAAAUUCCCAUGCUGAUCAGUAGUGGGAUGGCAACUGUGAAUAGCCACUGCACUCCAGCCUGUGCAACGUGGUAAGACCCUGUCUCU
rnacentral:SRP_RNA from 1 species